CUGCCGGCGUGCCGCGGAGGCGGAGCCCCUGGUCCUGCGGCAGUACCUCGUCCUUGAGGUCACCGCCAUGGCCGCCAAGCUCGCCUACGAGAACGCUGCCUACAUUGAGAACGUUGUCAAGAACGUGUGGAAGGUAAUUAACUAUAUUACAUAAAUAUUAAUGAUCUUGUAAUGAGUCGGCAACGUGAACACAGAAACAUGCACAAUAAUCAUUAAUAAUUAAAUAUGGGGAGACAAGUGGAUUUUUCUUGAGGAAACGUGACAAGUGGAUUACAAGUGGACGAAUAGAAACGAUAGAAAGAGGACGACAUGCAUGGGCAACACUGCUAGCUCAAGAGCUCUUUUACAGUACCCUUUAAUAAAUUCAGACCAUUCAAUUCGUUCAAUCUAACGGAUCAGCUUAACUCGUACUCCAUUUCGAUUGAGCAAGAGUACAAUGUACGAAAACCAGGGAGUACCUAGCUUACAGGGGUAAACUCGUAAAUUCAGAGGGCAGUGAACACUGUUUAGGAAGGGGACGGCUACACCAGAUCAAUCUCAUGGUCACUGACGGCUUUUGGCUUCGGAGAUCGAUGGGUAGAGGGACUGUGUGAUGGAGAUGGUAUCUGCGAGGGACCCUGAGUUCCCUGGAUCCUCCGCCGCCCGCACACCACCACGGCCUGCAUGCCUGGAUCGUCCGCCGCCGGCACACAGCCGUCGCCCAUGCGUGGAUCCUCUGCCACCCGCACACCACCACAGUGGCCUGCCUCCCUCUGAUGGCCAACGAGCUUUCUUAUCUCCACUAAUAUUCCACGGCAACGCAAGUGAACCAGUUUGUUGUUUACUUGAUGUCAAUUUCGAUUUAUUUGCUAGCCAGUUCUUGAACGUUCUGUCCUCAGUUCUAGGUGUUUUUUUGACGAACUAGUUCUAGGUAUUGGAACAUAGAUUUAUUUUCACUUACGGUGGCUUGCACGCGAUGGAGAUGCAUGGGGAUGAGGCGACGCGAUGUGAUUGUGGAGUUCAUCAGGUGCGCCUCGAUCGGGAAGGCCGCGGCGGCCGGCGGGCACACCGCCAGGAGUAGCAGGCGGCAAUAUGAGCGUGAUGACGACGAAGGGAUUCUACCUGUUCAUUGGGUCCACAUAAAAGCCAGUUUUGUCCUUUAUUAGGAAAGCGCAAAAGUCUAAAUUACCCUUUUAAUCCAACGGAUUGAUUUGCAUGGUACUCCCUUUCCUAACAACGGAGUACUAAGGUACCGUAAAAACUCUCUGGCUCAACCGCAGCAGACAAUCAUGCAUUUUGGGACAAGUACACAUGCAUUGCCUUUUUCUAUGCGUGCAUGGACCAAUCCCUGGAGACAAGCUUUUCGUCUACUACGGUCCCUGUAGAUCUCUGCUCGAUCGGAUCCUUCAACAGUGAGUACAUGAUGCAUGCAAGCUAGCCUCAUCCAUGGCUCCAUCCCUAGAAUCCUAGAUCGAUGUGUAUGCUGAGAGUAUCUCUAUUAAUGCUAAGCUAGUCCAUGCAUAUAUAUGUCGAUUUCUAUUUCUAGUACAAUGCACUAACUUUGUGUGUGUGUCAUGAUUUGCACAUGCAGUUCAAUUUCGUGGGGUUCUUCAACGGCUGGAACAGUAAGUUUAGCAAGAGAUCUAUUAAACUCUAUUCGAGAUUACUGUAAUUAACAAACAUGUCAAAUAUAACGUGUCCACACAUAUAUGCUGCAGAGUACCUGAAUCUGGACGGGACACAGGCAUUCGUGAUAACGGACAAGGCAGAGGACGCCAACGUGGUCAUCCUGGCCUUCCGUGGCACGGAGCCAUUCAACAUGC
rnacentral:lncRNA from 1 species